rnacentral:rRNA from 1 species
UACGUAGGGUCCGAGCGUUGUCCGGAAUUAUUGGGCGUAAAGGGCUCGUAGGCGGUUCGUCACGUCGGGAGUGAAAACUCGGAGCUUAACUCCGAGCCUGCUUCCGAUACGGGCAGACUAGAGGUAGGCAGGGGAGAGCGGAACUCCUGGUGUAGCGGUGGAAUGCGCAGAUAUCAGGAAGAACACCGGUGGCGAAGGCGGCUCUCUGGGCCUUACCUGACGCUCAGGCGCGAAAGCUAGGGGAGCGAACUGG